rnacentral:lncRNA from 1 species
GUAUUCAUUAUUAUUACUUUUCUUUUGAUUUUAAAAGAAAACAUUUUCAACGGUUCCAAGGCACUGUGCUAGACAGACGAGGUAGCUAUCCAUCUGCAUUUGGAAAGGCAUGGUCUCUUCCUGAGAAGCCAGCAUCAGGCUCUUGCAGGAGAGUGAUGGUGCAUAUUCAUUGUGUAGGGCAUGUAGGAAAGGCUCCAUGAAUGGUGGAUAAAAAUUUGACUUGAUUUAGAAGCUUAACUGCUCAGUUUAGCAU